AUUGAACGCUGGCGGCAUGCCUUACACAUGCAAGUCGAACGGCAGCACGGGAGCAAUCCUGGUGGCGAGUGGCGAACGGGUGAGUAAUAUAUCGGAACGUGCCCAGUCGUGGGGGAUAACGCAGCGAAAGCUGUGCUAAUACCGCAUACGAUCUACGGAUGAAAGCGGGGGAUCGCAAGACCUCGCGCGAUUGGAGCGGCCGAUAUCAGAUUAGCUAGUUGGUGGGGUAAAAGCCCACCAAGGCGACGAUCUGUAGCUGGUCUGAGAGGACGACCAGCCACACUGGACUGAGACACGGCCCAGACUCCUACGGGAGGCAGCAGUGGGGAAUUUUGGACAAUGGGCGAAAGCCUGAUCCAGCAAUGCCGCGUGCAGGAAGAAGGCCUUCGGGUUGUAAACUGCUUUUGUACGGAGCGAAAAGGUCUCCUCUAAUACAGGGGGCUCAUGACGGUACCGUAAGAAUAAGCACCGGCUAACUACGUGCCAGCCGCCGCCGUAA
rnacentral:rRNA from 1 species